CAGCAAGCGGUCUCUAGAGCUGAGGAGCUGCUGCAGAAGAAAGAAGAAGCAGCGGCGUGGGGACCUGGGCGGCAGGAGCGAGCAAGGAGAGGAUGCGGAAGCGUGCAGAUGCGGGGGGGAAGGAGAGAGGCACCCUGGGCAAAGCACCUGUCCCGUUAGCGGGGCCGCAGUCGCAUUUGAGUUGAGCGUUGCCGGCGCCUUUGGCGACCCGGCCGGCUUUGUGCUGGGCGACCUCCCUGUAAGCAGGGCUCGGGUCUUUGC
ensembl:lncRNA